rnacentral:tRNA from 1 species
GUAUGUAUGGCUCAGUGGUAGAGCUCCUGCCUGGUGUGCAGGAAGUCCUGGGUUCAGUCCCCAGUGCCUUCA